CAAAUUGUGUCGGCAGAAGAUAAGGAUUUAAUUUCAUUGCUAACAUACGUACAUAUUCGUUCGUUCUAUUCAUCAGAAAUGAUGUUGAAUAUAAUUGGAUAUGCUUUUCUUUUACAUUGGAUUUCAUACACAGUCCACCCUGUUGAGACUGUUGGGUGCAGGAACGACAGUGACUGUCACUGUCAAGGUGACAACUUUCAUGCCAUCUGUCAUCAGGAUGGAAAUGGACACUCCCAUUGUGGUGGUUGCGAUCCAGUCCAAUGCGAUCCCAAUCCCUGUAUUUCUUCGCAGAUCUGUGUAAUAGAAACACAACACGAUUCAAGCGUCUUCCGAUGCAGGG